UACGGAAGGGGCGAGCGUUGUUCGGAAUCAUUGGGCGUAAAGCGUGCGUAGGCGGCUGCGCAAGUCGGGUGUGAAACCCCGGGGCUCAACCCCGGAACUGCAUCCGAUACUGCCCGACUAGAGGUAGGUAGGGGAGAUCGGAAUUCCUGGUGUAGCGGUGAAAUGCGCAGAUAUCAGGAGGAACACCGGUGGCGAAGGCGGAUCUCUGGGCCUUACCUGACGCUGAGGCGCGAAAGCUAGGGGAGCAAACAGG
rnacentral:rRNA from 1 species